rnacentral:rRNA from 2 species
CAGUCGAACGAACUCUGGUAUUGAUUGGUGCUUGCAUCAUGAUUUACAUUUGACUGAGUGGCGAACUGGUGAGUAACACGUGGGAAACCUGCCCAGAAGCGGGGGAUAACACCUGGAAACAGAUGCUAAUACCGCAUAACAACUUGGACCGCAUGGUCCGAGCUUGAAAGAUGGCUUCGGCUAUCACUUUUGGAUGGUCCCGCGGCGUAUUAGCUAGAUGGUGGGGUAACGGCUCACCAUGGCAAUGAUACGUAGCCGACCUGAGAGGGUAAUCGGCCACAUUGGGACUGAGACACGGCCCAAACUCCUACGGGAGGCAGCAGUAGGGAAUCUUCCACAAUGGACGAAAGUCUGAUGGAGCAACGCCGCGUGAGUGAAGAAGGGUUUCGGCUCGUAAAACUCUGUUGUUAAAGAAGAACAUAUCUGAGAGUAACUGUUCAGGUAUUGACGGUAUUUAACCAGAAAGCCACGGCUAACUACGUGCCAGCAGCCGCGGUAAUACGUAGGUGGCAAGCGUUGUCCGGAUUUAUUGGGCGUAAAGCGAGCGCAGGCGGUUUUUUAAGUCUGAUGUGAAAGCCUUCGGCUCAACCGAAGAAGUGCAUCGGAAACUGGGAAACUUGAGUGCAGAAGAGGACAGUGGAACUCCAUGUGUAGCGGUGAAAUGCGUAGAUAUAUGGAAGAACACCAGUGGCGAAGGCGGCUGUCUGGUCUGUAACUGACGCUGAGGCUCGAAAGUAUGGGUAGCAAACAGGAUUAGAUACCCUGGUAGUCCAUACCGUAAACGAUGAAUGCUAAGUGUUGGAGGGUUUCCGCCCUUCAGUGCUGCAGCUAACGCAUUAAGCAUUCCGCCUGGGGAGUACGGCCGCAAGGCUGAAACUCAAAGGAAUUGACGGGGGCCCGCACAAGCGGUGGAGCAUGUGGUUUAAUUCGAAGCUACGCGAAGAACCUUACCAGGUCUUGACAUACUAUGCAAAUCUAAGAGAUUAGACGUUCCCUUCGGGGACAUGGAUACAGGUGGUGCAUGGUUGUCGUCAGCUCGUGUCGUGAGAUGUUGGGUUAAGUCCCGCAACGAGCGCAACCCUUAUUAUCAGUUGCCAGCAUUAAGUUGGGCACUCUGGUGAGACUGCCGGUGACAAACCGGAGGAAGGUGGGGAUGACGUCAAAUCAUCAUGCCCCUUAUGACCUGGGCUACACACGUGCUACAAUGGAUGGUACAACGAGUUGCGAACUCGCGAGAGUAAGCUAAUCUCUUAAAGCCAUUCUCAGUUCGGAUUGUAGGCUGCAACUCGCCUACAUGAAGUCGGAAUCGCUAGUAAUCGCGGAUCAGCAUGCCGCGGUGAAUACGUUCCCGGGCCUUGUACACACCGCCCGUCACACCAUGAGAGUUUGUAACACCCAAAGUCGGUGG